rnacentral:rRNA from 1 species
CCUACGGGAGACAGCAGUGAGGAAUAUUGGUCAAUGGUCGGAAGCCUGAACCCGCCAAGUAGCGUGCAGGAUGACGGCCCUAUGGGUUGUAAACUGCUUUUAUACGGGAAUAACGCGCCUUACGUGUAGUGUUUUGCAUGUACCGUAUGAAUAAGGACCGGCUAAUUCCGUGCCAGCAGCCGCGGUAAUACGGAAGGUCCGGGCGUUAUCCGGAUUUAUUGGGUUUAAAGGGAGCGUAGGCCGCAUGUCAAGCGUGCCUUGAAAUGCCCGGGCUCAACCCGGGCCCUGCAGCGCGAACUGGCGUGCUUGAGUCCGCGGAAGGCAGGCGGAAUUCGUGGUGUAGCGGUGAAAUGCUUAGAUAUGACGAAGAACCCCGAUUGCGAAGGCAGCUUACGGCAGCGGUACUGACGCUGAAGCUCGAAAGCGCGGGUAUCGAACAGGAUUAGAUACCCUAGUAGUC